CAGAUACUGGACCAUGUGGAAGCUACCUAUGUUCGGAUGCACUGAUGCCACCCAAGUGUUGGCUGAGGUAGAAGAGGCGAAGAAGGCAUACCCACAGGCCUGGAUCCGUAUCAUUGGAUUCGACAACGUGCGUCAAGUGCAGUGCAUCAGUUUCAUCGCCUACAAGCCAGAAGGCUACUAAGUUUCAUAUUAGGACAACUUACCCUAUUGUCUGACUUUAGGGGCAGUUUGUUUGAAAUGUUACUUAGCUUCUUUUUUUUUCUUCUUCCCACAAAAAUUGUUUUAUGUUUCCUACUUUCUAUUCGGUGUAUGUUUUUGGAUUCCUACCAAGUUAUGAGAACUAAUAAUAAUUAUGAUUUGGUGCUUUGUUUGUAAAUUUUGUUGUUUCACAUUCGUGUGGCGUAUAUGAGUUUCAUCUUGAUA
rnacentral:lncRNA from 1 species